CCCGCUGAACUUAAGCAUAUCAAUAAGCGGAGGAAAAGAAACUAACCAGGAUUCCCCUAGUAACUGCGAGUGAAGCGGGAAAAGCUCAAAUUUGAAAUCUCGCAGGAAUGGUCUUGCGCGAAUUGUAGUUUAGAGAAGUGUUUUCGCGGGCAGCCUGGGUAUAAGUCCCCUGGGAUGGGGCAUCAUAGAGGGUGAGAAUCCCGUCCAUGAUCCAGCCGCUGCUUGCAUACGAGACGCUUUCGAAGAGUCAGGUAGUUUGGGAUUGCUGCCUAAAACGGGUGGUAAAUACCAUCUAAAGCUAAAUAUUGGCGAGAGACCGAUAGCGAACAAGUACCGUGAGGGAAAGAUGAAAAGAACUUUGAAAAGAGAGUUAAAAGUACGUGAAAUUGCCAAAAGGGAAACGCUUGAAACCAGUAUUGCGAUGCGGGAAAUCAGCUCAGCGCGCCUGGGAACAAACCACACCCGGGUGCCCGCUGGGUGCACUUUCCAGCAUGCGAGCCAGCAUCAGUUCUGCCUGGCGUAAACCGCCACGGGGAGGUAGCUCUGGGCGACCAGAGUGUUAUAACCCGUGGUUCUGCGCCGGGCCGGGACUGAGGUCUGCAGCGCUGCUCUGGGCUUGCCGCGGCUCUUUGAUGGGUCUGGUGCGACAGCGUGCUGUCGCUGCCGGGCCAGCAGAAGACUCGGCGGACAACGCCACACUGUGCGCUUAGGAUGCUGGCGAAAUGGUUUUAAACGACCCGUCUUGAAACACGG
rnacentral:rRNA from 1 species